rnacentral:tRNA from 1 species
GUUGAAGUGGCUGAGAUUAAGCGGUAAAUUGUAAAUUUACAGACGAAUGAGAAUUCCUUUAUCA